rnacentral:rRNA from 1 species
UAGGGAAUCUUCCACAAUGGACGCAAGUCUGAUGGAGCAACACCGCGUGAGUGAAGAAGGUCUUCGGAUCGUAAAACUCUGUUGUUAGAGAAGAACACGAGUGAGAGUAACUGUUCAUUCGAUGACGGUAUCUAACCAGCAAGUCACGGCUAACUACGUGCCAA